rnacentral:rRNA from 1 species
CCUACGGGUGGCAGCAGUGGGGAAUAUUGGGCAAUGGGAGGAAUCCUGACCCAGCGACGCCGCGUGAACGAAGACGGCCUUCGGGUUGUAAAGUUCUUUUAUGUGGGAAGAAGGAAGUGACGGUACCACAUGAAUAAGCCCCGGCUAACUACGUGCCAGCAGCCGCGGUAAUACGUAGGGGGCGAGCGUUGUCCGGAAUUACUGGGCGUAAAGGGCACGCAGGCUGUGCUUCAAGUCAGCUGUAAAAGGAUGCGGCUUAACCGUGUUAUGCAGUUGAGACUGAGGUGCUGGAGUACCGGAGAGGCAAGUGGAAUUCCCAGUGUAGCGGUGAAAUGCGUAGAUAUUGGGAAGAACAUCGGUGGCGAAGGCGACUUGCUGGACGGUAACUGACGCUGAGGUGCGAAAGCCAGGGUAGCGAACGGGAUUAGAUACCCUAGUAGUC